UCCUACGGGAGGCAGCAGUGAGGAAUAUUGGUCAAUGGACGGAAGUCUGAACCAGCCAUGCCGCGUGCAGGAUGACUGCCCUAUGGGUUGUAAACUGCUUUUCUGAAGGAAGAAGAGUACCUACGUGUAGGUAUUUGCCGGUACUUCAGGAAUAAGGAUCGGCUAACUCCGUGCCAGCAGCCGCGGUAAUACGGAGGAUCCGAGCGUUAUCCGGAUUUAUUGGGUUUAAAGGGUGCGUAGGCGGUAUAAUAAGUCAGUGGUGAAAGUCUGUGACUCAACCAUAGAAGUGCCAUUGAAACUGUUAUACUUGAGUAUAGAUGAGGUAUGCGGAAUGUGUAAUGUAGCGGUGAAAUGCUCAAAAAUUACACAUACCACCGAUUGCGAAGGCAGCAUACU
rnacentral:rRNA from 1 species